rnacentral:rRNA from 1 species
GAUGAACGCUGACAGAAUGCUUAACACAUGCAAGUCGAUUCGAUUUACCUUCGGGUAUUGAGGAUGGCGGACGGGUGAGUAACGCGUAAGGAACUUGCCUCUUGGUCUGGGACAACUGUUGGAAACGACAGCUAAUACCGGAUAUUAUGAGAUUCUCGCAUGGGAAACUUAUGAAAGCUAUAUGCGCCAAGAGAGAGCCUUGCGUUCCAUUAGCUAGUUGGUGGGGUAACGGCCCACCAAGGCGACGAUGGAUAGCCGGCCUGAGAGGGUGAACGGCCACAAGGGGACUGAGACACGGCCCUUACUCCUACGGGAGGCAGCAGUGGGGAAUAUUGGACAAUGGGCCACAAGCCUGAUCCAGCAAUUCUGUGUGCACGGUGAAGGUCUUCGGAUUGUAAAGUGCUUUCAGUUGGGAAGAAGAAAGUGACGGUACCAACAGAAGAAGCGACGGCUAAAUACGUGCCAGCAGCCGCGGUAAUACGUAUGUCGCAAGCGUUAUCCGGAUUUAUUGGGCGUAAAGCGCGUCUAGGCGGAAAAAUAAGUCUGAUGUUAAAAUGCGGGGCUCAACUCCGUAUUGCGUUGGAAACUGUUUUUCUAGAGUACUGGAGAGGUGGGCGGAACUACAAGUGUAGAGGUGAAAUUCNUA